rnacentral:rRNA from 1 species
CAGUAGCCGCGGGAAUACGAAGGGUGCAAGCGUUACUCGGAAUUACUGGGCGUAAAGCGUGCGUAGGUGGUGGUUUAAGUCCGUUGUGAAAGCCCUGGGCUCAACCUGGGAAUUGCAGUGGAUACUGGGUCACUAGAGUGUGGUAGAGGAUAGCGGAAUUUCCGGUGUAGCAGUGAAAUGCGUAGAGAUCGGAAGGAACAUCUGUGGCGAAGGCGACUAUCUGGGCCAACACUGACACUGAGGCACGAAAGCGUGGGGAGCAAACAGGAUUAGAUACCCCUGUAGUCCCUGUCUCUUAUAC